ensembl:lncRNA
CAGACGGUCAGCAUCGGUUUUACCAGCCUUUUCUGAAUAAAUUUCCUGUUCUGAGUUCUGUGUGAAACAAAGAGCAGAUCAAUGCUGUGAGAACAGCAGCGAACUGUGACUUCCUGUCUUUUGUUCCCCAGAUAACGACUGGUCAGCGAUGCUAAUAGGUGUUAAUUCUUCUUCUGGUCUUCCAGCUGUGGCAUCACAGGAAGGCGACAGUCACCAGAACAAAAGCUGCAGCUCAGCUUUUUCUUUCCCACCAGCAGCUCUGACGGUGACAAACAUCUUUGCUGUGAAGUGAAAAUACCGAAGUUUCUAAUCUCCGAGAAACAUCUGGAGCGUUACAUCUCCUUCGCUCCCACUGCUCCCAAACCUCCCAGUAUUGAACCAGAUAAAUGGAAUUGUUGCAUGUCUCACAAAUUCUCCUGGUGAUUAUCUAAGCAUCUAAAUAAGGUAUUUUAUGACAGCAACGAUGAUGUCAAAAUGUGCCGUUUCCCUGAAAAAAGAAUAGUCUAUUGUUCACAGCCAGAGAGAAGGAACAAUUAGAAGGAAAACAGCUGGACCAGGUCUCCAGGACCAGUCUAGAAAGUCCGGAGGUGUCAGUGACCGAAGGCCUUCAAUGACCACCGUGGUGCCUUCAAUGACCCUCGUGGUGUAUUCAAACACAGAUUUGUAGAGGAAAGUUUUUUAGGAAUAUUGUCCCCCCCACCCCCCUCAACUUGGAUUAUGUGGGAAUAAUCUUGGCAGGAAAAGGAGACCCCCCCACCACCACCAUUGCUCCUCCUCCUCAUUUCUCUUUCUUUCUUUUUUUCUUUCUUUCUCUCCAAGUUCAUUCCCAGCUCAGUCAUUGAGGGCAUCACACCUCCUCUCUGCCCUUCUUUCAUCCAUCCAUUCCCUUUCUCAUCAUGUCUUCUCUCACUUUUCUGUCUGUUUAUCUAAGCGGAAUCUCACUGUUCCUGCAACUGACUGCUGGUUUCCAGCUUCAGAGUGAAGACGUCACUCCCACUCCCGACUAUGACUCUGACUACAAGGCCACCUUUGAUUACAGCUUCUUCAGUAACGCCAGCAGUGAAGACUUGGACAAGUUCAGUGAACAAUUUGAGGACAUCACCGUUACCAUGGCAACCACUCCAGAAACAACAGAAAGGGGCAGGAUUAAUGUUCACAAUGCUGCACCACAUCCAGAGUUUCUGGAGGUCCGAACGCUUCUCUGGACUCUCUUGGUGCUGAUCACACAACAGCUGCAACACACACUCUAGGAGCAGCACCGGGUCAGCGGUGAGGCUCACCUGUUCCGAAGUGGGCGGGGCCACCGGCAGGUGUCCAGCUGGACAAGCCACACAGCUUCACGCGCAGCACAGUUCACCACGGCAACGUUUGGCACUGAAUCACUUUUUCUUCUAACCAAUCAGUUUCUGCCUCCUCUGGAUUAGUGGAUCUGGUGGAUUAACAUGGACGCUCAUUCACGCUAAAGAAAAGUUAGAGAGAAAAGAAAAGGAAGUAUUUUCAUGUGUAUGAAAUAAAUCUGAUCUUUGCACAUGAAUCUGACCUGAAAUCAGAAAUCUGUGAGAAGGCAGCGCUGUUUAUUACACACAAGCUGAUCUUUUAUUACCUUUACUCCAGUAAAUUAGCUUGGAUUCAGCUCUGUAGUUAACUUAUUUGUAAAAGCGUAUUGUUACACUUCUGUUCGACAUCAUAGUCAAUAAUGAAACAGUCAUAUUUAAGAGUUUCAAUCUUCGAUGUUUGAGGUUUAAACCUGUGAAAUUGCUGUUAAACUGUUCACCACUGACUCACAUGGAUGCUGCCAGUAACCGAACGUCUGAGGACCCUGGAAUAACGAUCCAUCAAUCAAUCAGCCAAUCGACUUCUGCUGCAGUUCAUCAAUAUCCAAUGAGUUUCCAGGAAAUAAUCAAACAAGCACUUUAUCUUUGCCUUUCACAAUAAAAUCUAUUAAAAGUUCUGAAUCAUUUUCUCCUUUUAACCAAUACAUUUACUUUCUCUGACCCAUUAGAACCAGUCCCCUGACCCUCUCUGACCCAGUAGAACCAGUCUCCUGACCCUCUCUGACCCAGUAGAACCAGUCCCCUGACCCUCUCUGACCCAGUAGAACCAGUCUCCUGAC